rnacentral:hammerhead_ribozyme from 1 species
AUCCAGCUGAUGAGUCCCAAUUAGGAUGUAAUGCGCAUCCUGGAU